UACGUAGGGGGCAAGCGUUGUCCGGAUUUACUGGGCGUAAAGCGCGCGUAGGCGGAGUGGGAAGUCCGGUGUGAAAGCCCCCGGCUCAACCGGGGAAGGUCGCUGGAAACUCUCACUCUUGAGGCGGAUAGAGGGAAGUGGAAUUGCUGGUGUAGCGGUGAAAUGCGUAGAUAUCAGCAGGAACACCCGUGGCGAAGGCGGCUUCCUGGAUCCGACCUGACGCUGAGGCGCGAAAGCGUGGGGAGCGAACGGG
rnacentral:rRNA from 1 species